rnacentral:tRNA from 1 species
GCCUGGGUGGCUCAGUCAGUUAAGCAUCUAACUUCAGCUCAGGUCAUGAUCCCCAUGGUUUGUGGGUUCAAGUCCCACGUCAGGCU